CCUACGGGAGGCAGCAGUGGGGAAUUUUGGACAAUGGGCGCAAGCCUGAUCCAGCAAUGCCGCGUGAGUGAAGAAGGCCUUCGGGUUGUAAAGCUCUUUUGUCAGGGAAGAAACGGUGGGAGCUAAUAUCUCUUACUAAUGACGGUACCUGAAGAAUAAGCACCGGCUAACUACGUGCCAGCAGCCGCGGUAAUACGUAGGGUGCAAGCGUUAAUCGGAAUUACUGGGCGUAAAGCGUGCGCAGGCGGUUUUGUAAGUCUGUCGUGAAAGCCCCGGGCUCAACCUGGGAAUUGCGAUGGAGACUGCAAGGCUUGAAUCUGGCAGAGGGGGGUAGAAUUCCACGUGUAGCAGUGAAAUGCGUAGAGAUGUGGAGGAACACCGAUGGCGAAGGCAGCCCCCUGGGUCAAGAUUGACGCUCAUGCACGAAAGCGUGGGGAGCAAACAGGAUUAGAUACCCUGGUAGUCCACGCCCUAAACGAUGUCUACUAGUUGUCGGGUUUUAAUUAACUUGGUAACGCAGCUAACGCGUGAAGUAGACCGCCUGGGGAUACGGUCGCAAGAUUAAAACNAAAUGAAUUGACGG
rnacentral:rRNA from 1 species